AUGAAUCCUUAUUUUAUCGGUUUUGUCAUCCCGUUUGUGGCGUCUCUGAUGCUUACCAAGAGGAAGGCUGAGAAGAAAAGGGGCCUGCCAGUCGAUGUGGGUGGUGAGCCUGGCUAUGCCAUCCGUAACUACAGGUCCGAACAGCCUGUCGAAACGCACUGGGAAGGGAUUUUCACGCUCGCCGAGCUUUUCGAACAGUCCUGCAAGCAGUAUGCCUACAUGCCCCUGCACGGCACCAGGAAGCUCAUUUCAAGGGAAACAGAGGUAGCUGCUGAUGGAAGAUCCUUCGAGAAGCUCCAUAUGGGGGAGUAUGAGUGGAAAACUUACAUUGAAGCAUUCAAGGCUGUAUGCAACUUCUCAUCAGGCCUGAUCCAAAUUGGGCACCAGAAGGAUGAGCGUGUUGCUAUCUUUGCUGAUACGCGAGCUGAGUGGCAGAUUGCGUUGCAGGCAUGCUUCAGACAAAACAUUACCGUGGUCACCAUUUAUGCCUCCUUGGGAGAGGGAGCACUUUGUCACUCACUAAAUGAGACUGAGGUAACUACUGUGAUCUGUGGACGGAAAGAACUAAAAAAGCUUAUUGAUAUCAAUGGGCAACUUGAUACUUUGAAACAUGUCGUCUACAUAAGUGAGGACGAUGUCUCAAGUGAAGUAUCCUUGGCUAAACAAUGCACUAACUGGAGAGUUGAGUCAUUUGAAGAGGUAGAGAGGCUAGGGUUGGAAACACCUAUCGAAGCAAAUUUACCUCUCCCAUCUGAUACAGCAGUGAUAAUGUAUACAAGUGGGAGCACUGGAAUGCCCAAGGGUGUCAUGAUGAGCCAUCGGAAUGUCUUGGCCACAGCAUCAGCUGUUAUGACUAUUGUGCCUGCACUUGGUAAGAAGGAUGUCUACUUGGCGUACCUUCCGCUUGCGCACAUUCUUGAGUUGGCAGCUGAGACGAUUAUAUCUGCUGUUGGGGCUUCUAUAGGAUAUGGAUCACCAUUGACCCUGACUGAUACAUCAAAUAAAAUUAAAAGGGGGACCAAAGGUGAUGCCUCUGCACUGAGGCCAACACUUAUGACUGCGGUACCUGCUAUACUUGACCGUGUUCGUGAUGGCGUGAGAAAAAAUGUUGAUGCAAAGGGUGGUGUAGCCAAGAAACUAUUUGAUAUCGCCUACAGCCGUCGGCUAGCUGCUGUCAAUGGAAGUUGGUUUGGUGCAUGGGGAUUAGAGAAGCUUGUGUGGGACAUGCUUGUCUUCCAGAAAGUGCGUGCAAUCUUGGGAGGCCGGAUUCGAUUUAUACUUUCAGGCGGAGCGCCUCUGUCUGGAGAAACUCAGAGAUUUAUCAAUAUAUGCCUUGGGGCUCCAAUAGGGCAAGGAUAUGGUCUAACUGAAACGUGUGCUGGCGGGACAUUCUCUGAGUAUAAUGACACAUCUGUUGGUCGUGUUGGUGCUCCACUGUCUUGUUCGUUCAUUAAGUUGAUAGAUUGGGUUGAAGGUGGAUACUUGACAUCUGAUUCACCAAUGCCUCGGGGAGAAAUCGUUAUUGGAGGCCCAAAUGUAACCAAAGGCUAUUUCAAAAACGAGGCCAAAACAAAUGAGGUCUACAAGGAUGAUGAGAGAGGCAUGAGGUGGUUCUACUCCGGUGACAUUGGUCGUUUGCACCCAGAUGGUUGCCUCGAAAUCAUCGACCGGAAGAAGGAUAUAGUGAAGCUUCAACAUGGUGAAUAUGUAUCACUAGGAAAGGUGGAGGCUACUUUGAGCGUGAGCCCGUAUGUUGACAACAUCAUGGUCCACGCCGACCCCUCCCAAAACUACUGUGUUGCACUCGUUGUAACCGCGCACGGUGAGCUAGAAAACUGGGCCUCAAAACAAGGGAUUGCAUACUCCGAUUUCGCCGAUCUGUGCCAGAAGCAAGAGACUGUCAAAGAAGUUCUACAGUCGUUGGCAAAGGCUGGUAAGCAAUCGCGGCUGGAGAAGUUUGAGAUCCCUGCCAGGAUCAAGCUGAUACCGGAGCCAUGGACCCCCGAGUCGGGUCUCGUCACCGCUGCCCUCAAGCUCAAGAGGGAGGUCAUCAAGAAGGGUUAUCAGGACGAUCUUGCUAAGCUGUACAGAUAG
rnacentral:rRNA from 1 species